AAAACGAUUCGUAAGCUUUUGGCAUGUGAACUCUGAUUUCCAAAAGCAAAUACAAAACCUAUUAAAUACUAUGGAUCCCAACCCCAUCUUUGGAUCAACUUCCUCCUCUACUCUUGAGAUUAAAUGAUCUAUUCAAUAAGAUUCAUAAUCUUUGGUUUGGAAGAUAUAAGAGGAUGGCAAGCUAGAAUGGAUAUCAAGAUGAGUUAUUUCAUUAUCAAUCAAGACAAGAGCCCAUGAAGUAGUGAUUUAGAGUAUAAAACAAAGAUGGCUAAUAAGCAAGACAUUGAUGCUAUUAAGACUGCAAUCUAAAAGGAACUUAAGCAAGAUUUGGCUAAGAUUUUUAAGAAACAGAGUAUCCAAAUGACUACUAUUGUCGCUGCAACUACUACUUAUGCUACUCAUGAUAUCGAAGCACAUAAUGAGCACCUCUAGAACUUAGAUGACUACAUACUAGAACAAGCUAAGAAGGAGCAUGCUCUUAUUGCAAAAGCUAUUAUGGAAUCUGAGAUUGUGCAUAGUCUGACUAAAAGGCUCAACAAGAUGCAAGAUAUGCUAAAAGAUCAAGGUUUACAUUCAACCUUUGAUUUUGAUGAACUGAUGCUGAUUAGAGAAGACAAGUUACCUCAUACAUUUCAUACGCUUGAAAUGCAAAACUUCAAUGGGAUUGAAGAUUCAAAGGUGCACUUGGAGCAAUAUGCUACUAUCAUGAGUACUACUCAUUUAGCUAGGACCCAAAUUAUCAAGUUGUUUAUACUUUCAUUAGAAGAGCUAGUUGUGAACUAGUACCAUGGGUUAGAAAAACCCAUCAAGUAUGAUUAGAAAAAGCUUUAUGAUGCUUUUGUACAACAAUAUGACUAUAAUACUCACCUAGAAGUCUCUAUAAAAAAUUUAGAAUCAAUAAAGCAAAAAGCCAAUGAGUAUUUUUCUGACUUC